CCAUGGCUGCAAUAGGAAAUCUAUCAGUUGAGGAAAUGGAUGCAACAAGAAAUCAGUCAGAUGAAGGCACAGUUUGACAAGGAAAUAGGUCAAACAAGAGAACAGAUCACAACACUAUGCACUCAUUUACGUGUCCUGUCUACCGAGGAUUCCCAAGCUCACAGCGACGAUGGCAAUGAGCACCAUUUGGGUGUUGAUCAGAUAGAUCCUAAUCAUCACGAUUUUCAAGGCCAGACAUCUACAUCUGGGUUGCAAGAGGAAGUGGUUAGGGUCACUAAACGUGCUAUGCGAGACAAAUAGCCAUCGCAGUUUCUAAAAUCUCCUUACACUGAUCUGAUCCGACCGAAAAAGAGAAAGAAAAAUGUUCCAGCGAAUGAGCCAGAAGUGGAGGCAGUACCAUCAGUGCCUGAGCAAGUAAGGGAUGAAUUCAUGACCUCUAAAUAAAAUAUUUUUCGUCACACCGGUUACGUGCUCAAUCUAUCCCCGGUGGACUUCCAACACAUAGAGAAAGAAAUUGAAUGGUUGGGGAAGGAACACAUUGAUAGUUACAUGUGUUCCUUAAGACGUGCACAGUCUCAUCCACUAUAUGAUAGGAAUUAUGCUAUCAUGUCGACCGAGCUAUUUGUGUCUAUAGCAUAAUUUUGGAAAAAAUAAUAUGAGGACACUGGGACAAUUUUCGUUCCUUCUACGACGACUGUCCCGGAAGAAUGAGCACGUUUUGUUGACAGGAGCAUUGACAAAAAUCUUCCUUAGUAGACAAUCAACUACGUAAGUGUUAAUAAUUUUAUCAUUGAUGUAUUUAUUUCCGUACGACU